AUUGAACGCUGGCGGCAGGCCUAACACAUGCAAGUCGAGCGGAUGAAGGGAGCUUGCUCCUGGAUUCAGAGGCGGACGGGUGAGUAAUGCCUAGGAAUCUGCCUGGUAGUGGGGGAUAACGUCCGGAAACGGGCGCUAAUACCGCAUACGUCCUGAGGGAGAAAGUGGGGGAUCUUCGGACCUCACGCUAUCAGAUGAGUCUAGGUCGGAUUAGCUAGUUGGUGGGGUAAAGGCCUACCAAGGCGACGAUCCGUAACUGGUCUGAGAGGAUGAUCAGUCACACUGGAACUGAGACACGGUCCAGACUCCUACGGGAGGCAGCAGUGGGGAAUAUUGGACAAUGGGCGAAAGCCUGAUCCAGCCAUGCCGCGUGUGUGAAGAAGGUCUUCGGAUUGUAAAGCACUUUAAGUUGGGAGGAAGGGCAGUAAGUUAAUACCUUGCUGUUUUGACGUUACCAACAGAAUAAGCACCGGCUAACUUCGUG
rnacentral:rRNA from 1 species